AGCAUAUAACUGUCAUGAAAAAAAUCGCCCUCAAACGAAUUCCAGCGCAAGACAAAUCUGCAUAUUGUUUUGUGGCUCUCGCUAGUAGAUGAAAAACUCCGCAACCAAUCGCUCAAAUACCCGGGUUUGAUAUCCGGCUACACCAUCAAUCGGUACCGAUAGCGAACGGAAGAUGGCUUAUAUCGAUACCGAAUCAUUUCCUCAAAAAUAGAAAUCGUGGCAUUCGUGGAAGACAGGUUACCAUAUCUGUACAUAGUGUAUUUCGAAAGAUUCAGACGCCAGGCUCAUGGUACUCUCAAAUCGAUCCCGUCCAUUCUACAUAGUUCGCGUUUGGAAAACAGAAUAUGAUCAAUCCGGUUUUUAAUAGGAUCCUUUGCUAUGAGGCAGAUUUUAUCAAAGCAAAAAUCGUAUAGAUUUGAUCAUCCGUUACUUGCAGUAUCCGGUCCGGUGUAUACGUCCAACUACAGUGGACAACGGCUAAGACUAGGAUCUAUGGCAUGAACAAAGAUUUAUUUUUGCUGAAGGCAAAUUUUUUCGACACAGUGGAAGUAGUUUGAAAUAACUACAAUACAGUAUAUUCACAGUGAAUCCCAUUGUUGAUUGAAGGUAAUGAAGAACUAGAUCCCUAUAUUAGACAACAUCAACAACAAGAUGAAGAUCGAAACAAACUAACUUGAUCGAAGAUGUAACAGCCAAUUGUGGCUACAAGAACUGGAAACAACUCACAAAUUGCUCGGACAGAUUGCUAUGACUCUGACCAUGGCAAACAUCGGAAGCUGGACAUUUUUGGCGGUGAACAAGGCAAAGACUUCAAGACUACUUCCUGAUUUUUUGCCGAGCCUGCAAACCGAAUAGAAUCACCGAAUGAAUCGCCGCAAACCGAAUAGAAUCACCAAGAAGUGGCAAAGAUGCGAAUCCGGAUGCAUGCUGUGCAGUUCGUUCAAUAGUGCAUGGCUCACAGACGGCCUGAGUAAUAGAAAACCAAAUGAACAAUAUUUUUCUUUAUUGUACGUUA